GACAGAGGGUGCAAACGUUGCUCGGAAUUACUGGGCGUAAAGCGCGUGUAGGCUGACCGGGAAGUCAGGUGUGAAAUCCCUGGGCUCAACCCAGGAACUGCAUUUGAAACUUCCGGUCUUGAGGGAUGGAGAGGGAAGCGGAAUUCCUGGUGUAGAGGUGAAAUUCGUAGAUAUCAGGAGGAACACCCGUAGCGAAGGCGGACCGGACUGGACCACACCGUGACGCUGAGGCGCGAAGGCCAGGGGAGCGGAACGGGG
rnacentral:rRNA from 1 species